AGUGCUUUCUCUACCCAAAGCCUUCUGUAAACUGUCUAGGAAAAGCUUAACAAAAAAUCCGGAGGAAGACAUCUAAGGGGCCCCUCUCCUGCCCCUCCUUCCUCCCCUCAAAUUUUUCAUCUCGUGUGGAGAUAAUGAGAAGCAAAAUGUCUUGUCAAUUCAUUCACCCAAUAUUUAUCGAGUACCUGCUGGCUGCCAGCACCUGUUUCCUGUCUUGCUGUGUCGUCCACUCAUGGCCUCUCAAAAAGCCACUGUAACUAACUCCUUGUGCUUGUCAACCCUGGUGACAUUUCCAGAACCCGCAGAAGGUCUCAAGAGCAACUCAAAUUCAUCAAUUUAAAAAGUUGCUGCUUAAAAAUAACAAGGCUGCAAAGGCACCGUGACCUGGCCUUCCUCGUUGUAAUGUUUGCAAAAUCUUUUAACAUGACUGGUUAUAGAAAGGACAGUUACAUUGAGGUCCAGACAGCUGCCAACUCUGAUUUAAACACCAAGUAAAAGUUUCAUCUAAUCAAAAGCACCCUUUCCUAGCUCUACCGGUUGCCUUCAAUUGUAAAACAAAAAUUAUCUAGGAGGCUGUUAAACCAUCAUCAAAUACUAAAACCUUUGCUUGCAUUGGGUUAGCAGGUUAGCCCAGCAUUUCCCUUCCUGGACACACAGGAGGAGAAAUGCUGGACUAAUCUGCUAAUCCAAUGCAAGCAAAAAUUUGCAUUGGAAAGUUGGAUUUUUUGGUUUUUGGUUUUUUCUUUUUUCUUAAUACUAGGCCCGACCCCGAGAGAAUCUAAUCUAAUUGUUAAAAAAAAAAAAAAUCCGGGGUUCAGGGGUGUCCAGCUUUGUAUGGGUAUUUUUUUCACAUGGGCCCCAGGAGACUCUGAUGUGUGGCCAGGGUUGGAAACCACCAUAGGAUUAGCCAAUCAUCAAGCAGGGCCUAAGGGAACGUCCCGUUGAUACAGCAAAAGGUCUGCACAGGUGUUGCAAACUCAAAUGUCCCUGAAGGAUAAAAGCAGGUGACAAAGAAGUAACUUAAGUGGUUAUACAGGGACAAACUGAGAAGGGCACAAUGGCCCUGAAAAAGGCAGCCUCAUUUUUCUACGUGGGAAAAGAGGGUCCAGUGUGGCCAUCAAGUCGGGGUAUUUUAUUUUAUUUUGGUUUGGUUCCCCCUGCCCCCAAGAGAAGCCAGAA
rnacentral:lncRNA from 1 species